CGGAUGCGAUCAUACCAGCACUAAAGCACCGGAUC
rnacentral:rRNA from 1 species